rnacentral:lncRNA from 1 species
CCUUAGAAUUAUAAUCAAUUGAGUUUACUUUUCAAUCAAAAUUUAUUCCCCCCUUACUAUAUACCAAAUUUCUUAGUCUCAUUUCUUGCUUACCCUUGAUACAAUUAAAUUAAUCCUUAUCCUUAUUGAAUUUUGUAUCUCAUAUUUAAAUUGAUAUUGAAUUAUGAAAAAUAAUACAUUAUGACAAGAUUUUAAUGAAACUUGAUUUGCUUUCUCCAUUUAUCAAAUUUUAGUAUCAAUUGAG